GCCGAUUAAAAUUUUCACUUACAAUGAAAAAUACCUUAACAGGCGGGUUCAUUAGUUAAGGUGGCUUAA
rnacentral:tRNA from 2 species